rnacentral:rRNA from 1 species
GAUUAUGGCUCAGGAUGAACGCUAGCGACAGGCUUAACACAUGCAAGUCGAGGGGCAUCACGGGAGUAGCAAUACAACUGGUGGCGACCGGCGCACGGGUGAGUAACGCGUAUGCAACCUACCUAUCAGAGGGGAAUAACCCGGCGAAAGUCGGACUAAUACCGCAUAAAACAGGGGCACCGCAUGGUGAUAUUUGUUAAAGAAAUUCGCUGAUAGAUGGGCAUGCGUUCCAUUAGGUAGUUGGUGAGGUAACGGCUCACCAAGCCGACGAUGGAUAGGGGAACUGAGAGGUUGGUCCCCCACACUGGUACUGAGACACGGACCAGACUCCUACGGGAGGCAGCAGUGAGGAAUAUUGGUCAAUGGGCGGGAGCCUGAACCAGCCAAGUCGCGUGAAGGAAGAAGGAUCUAUGGUUCGUAAACUUCUUUUGCAGGGGAAUAAAGUGCAGGACGUGUCCUGUUUUGUAUGUACCCUGAGAAUAAGGAUCGGCUAACUCCGUGCCAGCCGCGGC